GAUCCUGGCUCAGGUGAACGCUGGCGGCGUGCCUAAUACAUGCGAGUCGAGCGAUGAGGCUCCUUCGGGAGUACAUCAGCGGCGAACGGGUGAGUAACACGUAGGUGACUUGCCCCGAAGAUGGGGAUAACCUCUGGAAACGGGGGCUAAUACCCAAUGUGCUCGGUGAUUCGGUUGAUCGAGUAAAGCUCCGGCGCUUCGGGAGAGGCCUGCGGCCCAUCAGCUAGUUGGUAGGGUAACGGCCUACCAAGGCAGAGACGGGUAGGGGGCGUGAGAGCGCGGACCCCCACACUGGCACUGCGACACGGGCCAGACUCCUACGGGAGGCAGCAGUAAGGAAUAUUGCGCAAUGGACGAAAGUCAGACGCAGCGACGCCGCGUGGGCGAUGAAGGCCUUCGGGUUGUAAAGCCCUUUUAUGGGGGAAGAGAAAAAGGACGGUACCCCAUGAAUAAGUCCCGGCUAACUACGUGCCAGCAGCCGCGGUAAAACGUAGGGGACAAGCGUUAUCCGGAUUCACUGGGCGUAAAGAGCGUUGAGGCGGUUCCGUAAGUUGGGCGUGAAAGCUCCGGGCUUAACCCGGAGAUGUCGUUCAAUACUGCGGGGCUUGAGGACAGCAGAGGAAGGUGGAAUUCCCGGUGUAGUGGUGAAAUGCGUAGAUAUCGGGAGGAACACCCGUGGCGAAGGCGGCCUUCUGGGCUGUUCCUGACGCUGAAGGCGAAAGCUAGGGGAGCGAACGGGAUUAGAUACCCCGGUAGUCCUAGCUGUAAACGAUGGAUGCUGGGUGUGGGGGGUGUAAAUUCCCUCUGUGCCGAAGCAAACGCGUUAAGCAUCCCGCCUGGGGACUACGGCCGCAAGGCUAAAACUCAAACGAAUUGACGGGGGCCCGCACAAGCAGCGGAGCGUGUGGUUUAAUUCGAUGCUACACGAAGAACCUUACCUGGGUUUGACA
rnacentral:rRNA from 1 species